rnacentral:lncRNA from 1 species
GUUCUCUUGCUCACAAGUCGAGAAGAACAAGGUUUUAUAGUGUUCUCUUGCUCACAAGUCGAGACGAACAAGGUUUCAUAGUGUUCUCUUGCUCACAAGUCGAGACGAACAAGGUUUCAUAGUGUUCUCUUGCUCACAAGUCGAGAAGAACAAGGUUUUAUAGUGUUCUCUUGCUCACAAGUCGAGAAGAACAAGGUUUCAUAGUGUUCUCUUGCUCACAAGUCGAGAAGAACAAGGUUUCAUAGUGUUCUCUUGCUCACAAGUCGAGAAGAACAAGGUUUCAUAGUGUUCUCUUGCUCACAAGUCGAGAAGAACAAGGUUUCAUAGUGUUCUCUUGCUCACAAGUCGAGAAGAACAAGGUUUCAUAAUGUUCUCUUGUUCACAAGUCGAGAAGAACAAGGUUUCAUAGUGUUCUCUUGCUCACAAGUCGAGAAGAACAAGGCUUCAUAGUGUUCUCUUGCUCACAAGUCGAGAAGAACAAGGUUUCAUAGUGUUCUCUUGCUCACAAGUCGAGAAGAACAAGGUUUCAUAGUGUUCUCUUGCUCACAAGUCGAGAAGAACAAGGUUUCAUAGUGUUCUCUUGCUCACAAGUCGAGACGAACAAGGUUUCAUAGUGUUCUCUUGCUCACAAGUCGAGAAGGACAAGGUUUCAUAGUGUUCUCUUGUUCACAAGUCGAGAAGAACAAGGUUUCAUAGUGUUCUCUUGCUCACAAGUCGAGAAGAACAAGGUUUCAUAGUGUUCUCUUGCUCACAAGUCGAGAAGAACAAGGUUUCAUAGUGUUCUCUUGCUCACAAGUCGAGACGAACAAGGUUUCAUAGUGUUCUCUUGCUCACAAGUCGAGAAGGACAAGGUUUCAUAGUGUUCUCUUGUUCACAAGUCGAGAAGAACAAGGUUUUAUAGUGUUCUCUUGCUCACAAGUCGAGAAGAACAAGGUUUCAUAGUGUUCUCUUGCUCACAAGUCGAGAAGAACAAGGUUUCAUAGUGUUCUCUUGCUCACAAGUCGAGAAGAACAAGGUUUCAUAAUGUUCUCUUGCUCACAAGUCGAGAAGAACAAGGUUUCAUAGUGUUCUCUUGUUCACAAGUCGAGAAGAACAAGGCUUCAUAGUGUUCUCUUGCUCACAAGUCGAGACGAACAAGCGGUUUCAUAAUUUUCCCUUUUCUGAAGUCGAGUCGAACAAAGAUACAUAUUAGCAAUAAAAGAGCACCUCUGCCGGACAUGCGAAACCUCAGGAUUCAUUAAGUAAUGCUUCAUUUGAAAAUGUACAUUAGUACUCAUCCGCUUUUGGAACUAUUUCUUUUGUACCUUAGAUAUUAUCUGGAAAUACUAGUUAUAAAGCUAACUGGCAUGGAAGCUGGAAACUGCUUUAAAACACACAUAUCUUUAGUAUAAUUUUAUACUGUUGUUUUCGUAAAUGUUAAUCAUAAUGAUAUGCCUCAUGCUUUACUACGUUUUGUACUUUUGUGGUUAUUUAAUUUAUAAAUAUUUAUUUCAAAAUACGUAUGUAAUUUCUAAAUAAAAUAUUACUAAGAUU